GGAGUUUGGUCCGUGUCUCAGUACCAAUGUGGGGGACCUUCCUCUCAGAACCCCUACUGAUCGAUGGCUUGGUGGGCCGUUACCCCGCCAACAACCUAAUCAGACGCAUCCCCAUCCCAUACCGAUCAAUCUUUGUUCCUCGUUAGAUGCCUGCAAAGGAAAACAUAGAGUAUUAAUCCGACUUUCGCCGGGCUAUCCUCUGGUAUGGGGAAGGUUGGAUACGCGUUACUCACCCGUGCGCCGGUCGCCGACAGGGUUAGCAAGCUAACCCCUCGCUGCCCCUCGACUUGCAUGUGUUAAGCCUGUAGCUAGCGUUCAUC
rnacentral:rRNA from 1 species